rnacentral:lncRNA from 1 species
GGUGCACCGCUAACAAAAAUUGGAUAUGAUAUUCAUCAAACUUGGUGAAGGAAAAAUUGUCCGAUUGUAUCGAAUGCCAGAAAAAAAAUUGAAUAGAUUAUUAAUUAAAAUUUUCAUAAUAUUUAUGAAACUCACUUUGAUUCACAGCAAAAGACUUGAUCAAGGUAGAAGAAGUUCCUCAAUCGACUUGCUUUGUGAGAUCUGAAUGCGCAGAUUUUCUACUUCGCAUGCACUCAAGCAACGCAGAAGAGAGAGAUGAAGCUCUUCUUCAGAAGAAGAGGAGAAGAGGCUU